UAGGGAAUCUUCCGCAAUGGACGAAAGUCUGACGGAGCAACGCCGCGUGAGUGAAGAAGGAUUUCGGUUCGUAAAACUCUGUUGUUAGGGAAGAAAAAAUGUAUAGUAACUAUAUACAAAAGAGACGGUACCUAACCAGAAAGCCACGGCUAACUACGUGCCAGCAGCCGCGGUAAUACGUAGGUGGCAAGCGUUGUCCGGAAUUAUUGGGCGUAAAGCGCGCGCAGGUGGUUUAGAAAGUCUGAUGUGAAAGCCCACGGCUCAACCGUGGAGGGUCAUUGGAAACUAAUAAAUUUGAGUGCAGGAGAGAAAAGUGGAAUUCCUAGUGUAGCGGUGAAAUGCGUAGAGAUUAGGAGGAACACCGGUGGCGAAAGCGGCUUUUUGGCCUGCAACUGACACUGAGGCGCGAAAGCGUGGGGAGCAAACAGG
rnacentral:rRNA from 1 species